rnacentral:miRNA from 15 species
ACUUUAACAUGGAAGCACUUGC